CCUACGGGAGGCAGCAGUGGGGAAUAUUGGGCAAUGGGCGCAAGCCUGACCCAGCAACGCCGCGUGAAGGAAGAAGGCCCUCGGGUUGUAAACUUCUUUUAUCAAGGACGAAACAAAUGACGGUACUUGAUGAAUAAGCCACGGCUAACUACGUGCCAGCAGCCGCGGUAAUACGUAGGUGGCAAGCGUUAUCCGGAUUUACUGGGUGUAAAGGGCGUGUAGGCGGGACUGCAAGUCAGAUGUGAAAACCAUGGGCUCAACCCAUGGCCUGCAUUUGAAACUGUAGUUCUUGAGUGUUGGAGAGGCAGGCGGAAUUCCGUGUGUAGCGGUGAAAUGCUUAGAUAUUGCGCAGAACUCCGAUUGCGAAGGCAGCAUACCGGCGGCGAUCUGACGCUGAGGCACGAAAGCGUGGGUAUCGAACAGGAUUAGAUACCCGAGUAGUC
rnacentral:rRNA from 1 species